CUGCAGGGUCCAAGACUAGCUACAAUAAACGGUAAAAACCAAAGCAAAAGCCCUAGAACAGGAAAAAUACUGUGAUAGAAACGUGGUUUUGGCUUUCAAGGAAAGAGGUACUUGACUAGCAUUGUAGCUCGGAUAUUUUGCCCUUGUCCAAGCCUUACUUUUCUGCUCGAUCCCUGAUGACGGAAAAGCUGAGCUCUGGAGACUCACUGCGGGCACAGAGGAAGGGCUGGGAGCCUGGGCCACCCUCUGGGGGCAAAGAUCCUUCCAAGUGACCUGGUGGGAGCCGGGAGGGGUGUAAUCCUGCGAGUGUUUGAUCCGGUGGCUUUGCUCACACCACGGAGGUAACUCGUGCGUUAAAAGCUGAAAUUCAGUAGAAGCUGAUGAAACCACCAUGGAGAAAUGCUGGUUCACCACACUGGCUAGCACCAGCUUGGUCUGGCUCCAGCUCCGGGAUGUGCAGCCUACAGACACAGGAAUGAAAAGAAAUAUUCUAAAAAGGAUGAGUCAGCUGGAGGCCAGUGGGGAGAGCGUGCAGGAUCUGACUGGAAUUUAAAAAGUUAUGAGGCUCCACGUUGUUUUGAGCCCUGCCAGCGGAGAAACUCAAACAUGGGAAACGCUUUGUCAUCUGGCAUAAUUAUGUCACUUUGCUGAUUAGCUGGUAAACUCUUUUCAAAAUGCUUUUAGACAAUAGUAAGUUCAUGAAAUAGGAAAACUUCCUGCUGACACCACCGACAAGGGCCUGCUUUACAUGUUAUUGAAAACUGCCUUCCCUAGAACCCCACCAGACUGUGGGACAGACAUGAAAACGGUUUUUUUUAGUAUGUAUUAGAUGACUUACCCAUUAAAACAGUUGAGGUAUCUUCACACCUUCACUUCUGUGCUGUAAGCUGGAUGUGAGCUGUGAGUACACCCACACUGGUAGUGCAGCUGAUGCCUCAGCUUUCAGCUUUUCUAUUUUUCAGAUUCUGUGCUGCUCUAGUGUGUGGGUCUGAGCUU